rnacentral:rRNA from 1 species
UGAAGUUGGAUUCGCUAGUAAUCGCGCAUCAGCCAUGGCGCGGUGAAUACGUUCCCGGGCCUUGUACACACCGCCCGUCAAGCCAUGGGAGCCGGGGGUGCCUGAAGUUCGUGACCGCAAGGAGCGACCUAGGGCAAAACUGGUGACUGGGGCUAAGUCGUAACAAGGUAGC